rnacentral:lncRNA from 1 species
UCUAAUGGAACUCUUUUCAUUGUUUCUCAAAGUUUAUAAAUUUACAGCACACAAAAGAAAGUUAAGUACAUUAACAGAUACCUCAAAAGUUCUCAUUUUUAAUGUGUUUCCUAUUAAGUUCAAUAAAUGGCAUUUAGCUAUUGAUGUGGAAGCUGUAGAAGAAAAGUGAAACUCCAUUUAUAUUCCUACCUACAGAUAGUUCUCAUCCAUAAAGACAAGGUCAUUGUCUUUGACCCACAAUCUUAGCUUUGAGCAGGAAACACACGGAGAAUCAAUAGAAUGGUGACUGUCUGGGUGAAUAGUGCAGUAUAAAUUUUGGAAUUACAGCCACAAUAGAAUACCCCUGGAUCCAUAGAUUCUUUCCUUUUAAAAUCAAAUUUAAUUAUAUCAGUAUAGUCUAAAUCAGGACAAUUUGAUGAUAUCAUUUAAAAAGAAUAUGCUUCUCAAGGUACCAAUAUUUCUUAUAAUCUAACACCAUAGAUUCAAAGUUCAUCUUUCCGUACUGCUAGGGAGUUAACCGGGGGCCUUAUGCAUGAUAGGCAAGUGCUCUACCACUGAGCUUACAUCUCCAGCCUUAAAGUUCAUUUUUAAAGUGUGGUAAAGAGAGGGUUUUCGUAUAACAACAAAGAUGUAGAAGGAAAUGAGCAAAAUGAGGAUAGAGUUCUAGUAAAAGCAAGGGUAUGACAUGCACCUAAUUCAAAGACUUUUCUCCAGUUUCUGCUACCCCCUUGAGGAUGAAAAUUUUACCAAAGGACAGAGGAUCCCUAAGAUGAAACCAUAGAUUCAUCCA